rnacentral:tRNA from 1 species
GUCCCUAUCGUCUAGCCCGGUCAGGACACAUGGUUUUCAUCCAUGCAACCGGGGUUCAAAUCCCCGUGGGGACGCCA